GUUGCAGUGAGAGAAAGAAGUACUUGCGUUACCUCAUGAAAGCGACCUUAGGGCGGUGUAAGCUAAGGAUGAGCACGCAACGAAAGGCAUUCUUGAGCAAUUUUAAAAAAGAGGCUGGGAUUUUGUUCUCAGCAACUAGGGUGGAACCGCGGGAGAACUCUCGUCCCUA
rnacentral:misc_RNA from 1 species